AGAGCCUGCUGUCUAUGGCCUGAGACCUCUGAAACUAGUCCAGGAUAUAGGAAUGAAUGAAACAGCCCAUGGAGCCUGUAUUCUAGUAAGAGGAGACAGACAAAAGCCAAAACUGAGGGUGACUUCUGGUCAACAGCUAGGAAGAACCUGAGACCUCACAAAGUUGUCAAGUCCUUCCAACAACCACAUGAGUGAGCUUGGAAGCAGAUCCUUUCUUAGCAUAGCUUUCAAAUGAAACUACAGCCCCAGCCAACAUCAUGAUUUCCAGCUUAUAAGAUACCUGAAGGCAGAGACAUUCAGCUAAGCCAUAAUUAGUUUCUUUACCUACAGAAACUGUGAGAUAAUAAAUACUUAUUGUUUUAAGCCCUUAA